GAUGAACGCUGGCGGCGUGCUUAACACAUGCAAGUCGAACGGAAAGGCCUGUACUUGUACAGGUACUCGAGUGGCGAACGGGUGAGUAACACGUGGGUGAUCUGCCCUGCACUGUGGGAUAAGCCCGGGAAACUGGGUCUAAUACCAUAUAGGACCACUUCUUGGAUGUUGUGGUGGAAAGCUUUUGCGGUGUGGGAUGAGCCUGCGGCCUAUCAGCUUGUUGGUGGGGUAAUGGCCUACCAAGGCGGCGACGGGUAUCCGGCCUGAGAGGGUGUACGGACACAUUGGGACUGAGAUACGGCCCAGACUCCUACGGGAGGCAGCAGUGGGGAAUAUUGCACAAUGGGCGCAAGCCUGAUGCAGCGACGCCGCGUGGGGGAUGACGGCCUUCGGGUUGUAAACUCCUUUCGCUAUCGACGAAGCCACCUUGGGUGGUGACGGUAGGUAGAUAAGAAGCACCGGCUAACUACGUGCCAGCCGCCGCCGUAA
rnacentral:rRNA from 1 species